rnacentral:rRNA from 1 species
UACGGAGGAUGCAAGCGUUAUCCGGAAUGAUUGGGCGUAAAGCGUCCGCAGGUGGCUAUGUAAGUCUGCUGUUAAAGAGUCUAGCUCAACUAGAUAAGAGCAGUGGAAACUACAUGGCUAGAGUGCGUUCGGGGCAGAGGGAAUUCCUGGUGUAGCGGUGAAAUGCGUAGAGAUCAGGAAGAACACCGGUGGCGAAGGCGCUCUGCUAGGCCGCAACUGACACUGAGAGACGAAAGCUAGGGGAGCGAAUGGG